rnacentral:rRNA from 1 species
AGUGAACGCUGGCGGUAGGCCUAACACAUGCAAGUCGAACGGCAGCACAGUAAGAGCUUGCUCUUACGGGUGGCGAGUGGCGGACGGGUGAGGAAUACAUCGGAAUCUACUUUUUCGUGGGGGAUAACGUAGGGAAACUUACGCUAAUACCGCAUACGACCUACGGGUGAAAGCAGGGGAUCUUCGGACCUUGCGCGAUUGAAUGAGCCGAUGUCGGAUUAGCUAGUUGGCGGGGUAAAGGCCCACCAAGGCGACGAUCCGUAGCUGGUCUGAGAGGAUGAGCAGCCACCCUGGAACUGUGACACGGUGCAGACGCCUACGGGAGGCAGCAGUGGGGAAUAUUGGACAAUGGGCGCAAGCCUGAUCCAGCCAUACCGCGUGGGUGAAGAAGGCCUUCGGGUUGUAAAGCCCUUUUGUUGGGAAAGAAAAGCAGCAGGUUAAUACCCCGCUGUUCUGACGGUACCCAAAGAAUAAGCACCGGCUAACUUCGUG